rnacentral:rRNA from 1 species
UUCUUGUUCCCUUAGAGUAAGUAAAAGUCGUAACAAGGUCUCCGUUGGUGAACCAGCGGAGGGAUCAUUACCGAGUUUACAACUCCCAAACCCAUGUGAACAUACCUACUGUUGCUUCGGCGGGAUUGCCCCGGGCGCCUCGUGUGCCCCGGAUCAGGCGCCCGCCUAGGAAACUUAAUUCUUGUUUUAUUUUGGAAUCUUCUGAGUAGUUUUUACAAAUAAAUAAAAACUUUCAACAACGGAUCUCUUGGUUCUGGCAUCGAUGAAGAACGCAGCGAAAUGCGAUAAGUAAUGUGAAUUGCAGAAUUCAGUGAAUCAUCGAAUCUUUGAACGCACAUUGCGCCCGCCAGUAUUCUGGCGGGCAUGCCUGUCUGAGCGUCAUUUCAACCCUCAUGCCCCUAGGGCGUGGUGUUGGGGAUCGGCCAAAGCCCGCGAGGGACGGCCGGCCCCUAAAUCUAGUGGCGGACCCGUCGUGGCCUCCUCUGCGAAGUAGUGAUAUUCCGCAUCGGAGAGCGACGAGCCCCCCUGCCCGUUUAAACCCCCCCAACUUUUCCCAAGGUUUGACCUCAUGAUCAGGUAGGAAUACCCCGCUGAACUUUAAGCAUAUCUUAAGGCGGGAGGAA